UUUUUCUUAUAUUAGUCAACCAGAGUCAACCUAAUAGUGGCCAACUGAUUGAAACGAAGCAAAAUAUAUUCCAAGUCCCUUUUUACCCAGUGUUGGCUAUAAGCGGUAUAGUUGGCGUUGGGUGAAAAUUUUGAGCAGUGCCUGUUUGCUGCAUCUCGGCCAUCUCAGUCAUUUUGAUUCAAGACGCCGCCAUUGCUGGAAGCAAAUUUUCAUUUUGCACAAAAUCAGUUUUCGAAAAUUUUUGUAAAAAAAGAUUCACUUUGAAGGUGAAUAUUUCUUAAAGUUUGUUUAUAGAAGUUUACUAAGUUAUAUAAAAAACCACAUUGAAUUGUCUUUGGGCGCGGCACCAGCUCUCCGUCAUUCACGUUUCACAUUCGAUCGCUGCUGCUACUGCGUAAUCCUGUCCGGCGUUCCAAGUUCCCGCUUCACCCUCAUUUUUGCCGCCGUCGUUCCUAAAAGCCACUCUGUUCGUCACCGCUGCCCGUGUUUGGACGCUGCUGCACAAACUCGCUUCCGAUAGUCCGGUGUCCCGUGUAGUGUGAUCCAGAUUUCACUCGACCGCUGUGCUUCGUUACUGACCGUCCGAUGUUUCCGGUUCGUUCCUGCUUGUUCACCGUCGACAUUGCUGCUGCUGUGCUCAACGGUCUGUUCGUCAUUCGUGUUUUGAUCGCUGCUGGAUCUGAUCGUCCAGUGUCCGUGUUUUGAUCGUUGUCGCUGUGCUGCUGCUGCUCCCGCUCUAGUCCGUCGGAUGUUCUUGCUCGCCGCUGUUAUCGAGCUUGAUCCGGUUGUUCCGUGUCGUCCGGUAUCCGUGUUUUGAUCGUUGUCACUGGUGCUGCUGUUGCUGCCGAGCUUGAUCCGGUUUUUCCGUGUCGUGCGGUGUCCGUGUUUUGAUCGUUGUGCUGUGCUGCUGCUGCUCCCGCUCUAGACCGUCGGAUGUUCUUGCUCGCCGCUGUUAUCGAGCUUGAUCCGGGUUGUUUCGUGUCGUUGGCCGCUGCUGCUAACACUCUUCUGGCGUUCAAUUUAAUGAAACCGUCGCCAACGUUUAGCUGAUCCUGUUGCUGAUACGGAUCCGCGUUCCUGUUCUACUUCGGCUAAUCAUAUCGUAAGUAAAAAUAGUUAAAACCCUGAACCGAGAGGGGUGACGAAUCUUGAGAAAAACAGGUGAUUAUUUGUUUCUUCAACCCUUUGGAGCCAGAUUGUGACCGCAACCUCGUUGGUCUCGAACACGUCUGUUAUGGUCGGUUUGAACGCCUGGUUCAUUUAUGCCCAGUCCGGCUCCCGAAGAGUUAAGAUGUAUAACAGAUUUUCGCAAUGGAAAAUAGAUUUUCCAUACGUUUAAACUGCAGUGCUGUUACAGAUGUCGCGAUUUAUCUUUUGAGUCGCGGAUUUGAUAGGAAGGAAGGAUCUUGUAUCCACAAUAAAUAUCUGAUGUCUUGGCCUUGACCUCGCCCCGCUAACUACGUCAUAAGCUGGCACGUAUAAUUUCUAUUAAAGUUAUAGAAUCUCUAGAUUCCCUUGAGGUAUUCCUUGCAAAAGUCCUUGUAGGAAUCUCUAUGAAAUUCUUAUUUAAAAUAAUUUGUUUUUUUUUUGUUUACGCC